rnacentral:SRP_RNA from 1 species
GCUGGGCAUGGUGGCUCACGCCUGUAAUCCCAGCACUUUGGGAGGCUGAGGCAGGCGGAUCACCUGAGGUCAGGAGUUCGAGACCAGCCUGGCCAACAUGGUGAAACCCUGUCUCUA